rnacentral:lncRNA from 12 species
AGUCUAUAAGAACUGAAACUGCUAACUACACAUAGUCUCAGACCAGGCAUUAUCCACUCUUGCAGGGUAGGUAAUGACAAACAGCUUUCAUGAAAGGUAAUUGCAGACAGCAAUCAUUAGCAGCCAGGGACAGUAAACACUGAGGACAAUAAUGAUAGUCACUUCUCAUUCCUUGCCAAUUUGGGUUUAAACUCGAGUCAGAAGCAGAGAAGCUAAAAGCCAGUGGUACGUACAAACAAUUUGAGUUGGAUUUUUGUGGGCCAUCUGCCACAGGCAAUCUGAGAUGCACUUAAAACUGUACAUCUACAGCUACAGGGGAGCAGGGAGGAAGACUUUUUAAAGAAAUGUGUGUCAAUUGACACACAAAAAAGUUGUGAUACAUGUGCUUAUGCAGUUCUUUAUUUUUAAAAAAAUAGCCAUCCAUUUGUCAUUAAAGGAGAAUAAUAGAUGUUUUACAGAAUACUGGCUGAAUCUUCAUAUCAAUCUUUUGAAAUUGGGCUUUUUUUUUUUUUUUUGUCAGCAGAGAGAAACCCUUUUGUUUCCUGCUACUGUUACAUUUUGCUCCCAAAUUCUGCGGAAAGGAUACUUUACAAAACCCACAAUCUUACCCAAAGUGUACAAGCUAAUAAAUGUCAGUUCCCCUUCAAAACCCUUUUCAAUUUCCCAGAUGUCAGUGUUUGAUAUCAGCUUGCUAUUUAUGCAUCUCGGUUUCAUAAGGCCGCUUCACUUGUACGUGCCAGCUCAGCUCUCCCAGGAGCUGGUUGUGUCUCUUUCUCCUUGGCAGGCCAGGGAGGAGCUGGUGAGCAGGACACUGUCCCUCUCCCCAAAUCCUGUGUCACACAGGGGAACCGGUGCAGGUCAUUGCAGGAGGUCUGGUCACUGCUGAGCUGCACAGCUUAGCGCUUGCAAGGACUCUGGGUGGCAGCAGCUGUUUCAUUAGGAUGGCGCAGCACUGGCUCUCCAGUUUUGUUUUCCUAUAUGGUAUUUAUUUACAGCUGGCUAUGGUGAAACCUGCAGCACUCAGUACUAGGUUUAAGCUUGCUUCCUGAGACGUGAAGCUCCCUUAAACAUCCUUGAAUUCUUGUAUCUGUUCUCUUUUUGUCCGUAUCUCCUGGGUCUCUUCCACUGGCUGCGGUGGUUCAGGAAGGCAUUGCUGGAGUCUUGUACCACGGCCAUUUCGUCCUCUACUGAAAAAUAAUCCAAACAACACAAAAAUUCUGUAAGAAUAUGCUGAUUUCUUAAGGUGAGUUUUUGU